rnacentral:rRNA from 1 species
AGUGAACGCUGGCGGCGUGCUUAACACAUGCAAGUCGAACGAGAACGGAACAUAGCUUGCUAUAUUUGUCAGCUAAGUGGCGCACGGGUGAGUAAUGUAUAGAUAACCUGCCCUUAAGAAAGGAAUAACAGUUGGAAACGACUGCUAAUGCCCUAUAUGCCUUUAAUACAUAAGUAUGCAAGGGAAACGCUUUAGUGCUUAAGGAUGGGUCUGUAUGGUAUCAGCUUGUUGGUGAGGUAAUGGCUCACCAAGGCUAUGACGCCUAACUGGUUUGAGAGGAUGAGCAGUCACACUGGAACUGAGACACGUUCCAGACUCCUACGGGAGGCAGCAGUGGGGAAUAUUGCACAAUGGACGAAAGUCUGAUGCAGCAACGCCGCGUGGAGGAUGACACAUUUCGGUGCGUAAACUCCUUUUAUAUGAGAAGAUAAUGACGGUAUUAUAUGAAUAAGCACCGGCUAACUCUGUGCCAGCAGCCGCCGUAAUAC